UUGGCAUGAAAAAACAGAGACCACGUUUGUAUAAUCAUGGUAAAAGAAAUAACAGACUGAUUCUGUAUAUAUAUAUUCACACGUACAUGAUUUACAUCUAAUAAUUAUUAAUAAUUACACAUUAAAAAAAACAAAAAAACAAGCUAACUAAGUAUAUAUAUAUAUGUAUGUACAAAUCCUUAUAUAUCCAACAGUUGAUGCUUCUGUUUCAUUAUUUAUCUCACACAUAAGCCCAUGGUUUAACCACAACAACCACCGUGACGAGGCUCGAACCGACGAUGUUUAUCACACAUAUUAUAUCGUAUGUCUUACGGUGCGAAUCCCUUAUUGAUUCUCACCGCGAGAGAGUUUGUUCCAACUACGUCAACCAAAGUUCUUGGCCCAUCUCAACUAGUUACCACGGAUGUUCAACUGGUUAUUAGAUGGGCCUUAUCAUGUCAAAUACCAAAUUCAUCCCUAAACUUUGAGUUGUUUUACAUACCGGCUUCAAAACUUUCAAAUGUUACAAUACCGUUUUUAAAACUUACAAAUAUGGCUG
rnacentral:lncRNA from 1 species